CAUCGAUCUAUUAUAUCCUACAACAACGAAGAGGAGGGAUUCAGCUCUCUGCCUUUUCUUUCUUCCUCCAGUAAUUAAAGACCCAUCUCUUUUGAUACCUUAUGUUGGUUAUUGUAUGGUCAUGUGAUCAGUGCUGAGUGGUGGAUAACAUUGGAGUGCUCUGAGGUCAAAUAUCAUUUUCCUAAUUCAUCGUUCGGUUAUUGUAUGGUCACGUGCUCAUCGCUGAUUGGUGGAUAACAUUGGAGUGCCCUGAGGUCAAAUAUCUGUUUCCUA